rnacentral:rRNA from 1 species
UACGGGGGAGGCAAGCGUUGUUCGGAUUUACUGGGCGUAAAGGGCGCGUAGGCGGUCAGCACAAGUCAGUUGUGAAAUCUCCGGGCUUAACUCGGAAAGGUCAACUGAUACUGUGCGACUAGAGUGCAGAAGGGGCAACUGGAAUUCUCGGUGUAGCGGUGAAAUGCGUAGAUAUCGAGAGGAACACCUGCGGCGAAGGCGGGUUGCUGGGCUGACACUGACGCUGAUGCGCGAAAGCCAGGGGAGCGAACGGG